UCCCAGGAGGACUAGUGGUUAGGCCUUGGUGCUCUCACCACCCCAGCCCAGGUUCGAUUCCCGGCCAGGGAA
rnacentral:tRNA from 1 species